AUGUGGCCCUUCCUCAGCCGCACCCUCUUCCCUCCCCCUACUGAGGCCUGGCUCCAGAGGUCUUCCUCAGACCCUGAGGCCCAGGGCUGGGGGGCCUGGAGCCCAGCCGAGAAGACCCAUCUGGACCCGGGGGCUGGCGGGGAGGAGGAGGAGACGGGGGAAGCUGAGGAAGACAAUGAGGAAGAUGCCGGCUUCCUGCUGUCUCUCUUGGAGAGGGAGGGCCUGGCUGAGUGCCCAGUGCCUGACCAGGAGCUGGAGGCCAUCAAACUGAAGCUGUGGGCCAUGGAGCCAGGGGCCGGAGCCGCCCAGGGUGCAGAACCUGGAUGAAGGAGAGGAAGCCACCGGGGCCCUGCUGGCCAGGCAGCUACUGAGUCCCGAGACAGACAGCCCCCUGGAGAAAGCAGAGGCUGACCACAGAUCCAUCUACGUGGGCAAUGUGGACUAUGGGGGCACGGCCCAGGAGCUGGAGGCCUAUUUCAACCACUGUGGGGAGAUCCACCAGGUCACCAUCCUGUGUGACAAGUUCUCUGGACACCCCAAGGGCUAUGCCUACAUAGAGUUUGCCACGGAGAGCUCGGCCCAGGCCGCCGUGGAGCUGGACAAGAGCAUCUUUCGAGGCCGGGUCAUCAAGGUGCUGCCCAAAAGGACCAAUUUACCAGGGAUCAGUUCCACGGACCGCGGGGGCCUUCGGGGACACCCAGGCGCCAGAGUGGGAUCCUUCCCCUACGGCGGCCUUCAAGGCGGGGCCCGUUUCAGGCCACGAGGGCGGAGCCGGGGACGCGGAAGAUUCUCACCGUGGUUUUCUCCAUAUUGA
rnacentral:lncRNA from 1 species